CUGAUUCAGUGUAAAUAACACAAUGCUUUCAUUUUUUGGCAUGCAAAAUUCUUUAUUCUCCUUAAUAAAGGGGGGGCCGGGGGAUUUUUUCCGGAUAUUUCCAAAAAAGGUCCAAAAACUUUUUCCAGUCAAAGACCAGUUAAAUUAAGGUUCAAAAAAAUUUCCAGACAAAUAUCUGUAAAAACGCGGGUAAAACACAUUUUUCAG
rnacentral:lncRNA from 1 species